rnacentral:rRNA from 1 species
AUUGAACGCUGGCGGCAUGCCUUACACAUGCAAGUCGAACGGCAGCAUGAUCUAGCUUGCUAGAUUGAUGGCGAGUGGCGAACGGGUGAGUAAUACAUCGGAACGUGCCCUGUAGUGGGGGAUAACUAGUCGAAAGAUUAGCUAAUACCGCAUACGACCUGAGGGUGAAAGUGGGGGACCGCAAGGCCUCAUGCUAUAGGAGCGGCCGAUGUCUGAUUAGCUAGUUGGUGAGGUAAAGGCUCACCAAGGCGACGAUCAGUAGCUGGUCUGAGAGGACAAUCAGCCACACUGGGACUGAGACACGGCCCAGACUCCUACGGGAGGCAGCAGUGGGGAAUUUUGGACAAUGGGCGAAAGCCUGAUCCAGCAAUGCCGCGUGUGUGAAGAAGGCCUUCGGGUUGUAAAGCACUUUUGUCCGGAAAGAAAUGGCUCUGGUUAAUACCUGGGGUCGAUGACGGUACCGGAAGAAUAAGGACCGGCUAACUACGUG